GGAGGCAUGGCUCAGUGGUAAGAGCCUUGCCUAGCAAGUGCAAGCCAGAGUUCAAACCUCAGUACUGCCA
rnacentral:tRNA from 1 species